rnacentral:rRNA from 1 species
GACGAACGCUGGCGGCGUGCUUAACACAUGCAAGUGGAGCGACGAACCGGGGCUUGCCCCGGGGCAAAGCCGCGAACGGGUGAGUAACACGUGGGUUACCUGCCUUGAUGACCGGGACAACCCGAGGAAACUCGGGCUAAUACCGGAUGUGCCCGCAAGGGGAAAGGAAGCUUCGGCCUCCGCAUCGAGAUGGGCCCGCGGCGCAUUAGCUUGUUGGUGGGGUAACGGCCUACCAAGGCGACGAUGCGUAGCUGGUCUGAGAGGACGAUCAGCCACACUGGGACUGAGACACGGCCCAGACUCCUACGGGAGGCAGCAGUGGGGAAUCUUGCACAAUGCACGAAAGUGUGAUGCAGCAACGCCGCGUGCGGGAAGACGGCCUUCGGGUUGUAAACCGCUUUCAGUUGGGACGAAGGUUCAUCGGUGAAUAGCCGGUUGGACUGACGGUACCUUCACAAGAAGCCCCGGCUAACUACGUGCCAGCCGCCGCCGUAAAAC